GGGGAAUAUUGCACAAUGGGGGAAACCCUGAUGCAGCGACGCCGCGUGGAGGAAGAAGGUCUUCGGAUUGUAAACUCCUGUUGUUGGGGAAGAUAAUGACGGUACCCAACAAGGAAGUGACGGCUAACUACGUGCCAGCAGCCGCGGUAAAACGUAGGUCACAAGCGUUGUCCGGAAUUACUGGGUGUAAAGGGAGCGCAGGCGGGAAGACAAGUUGGAAGUGAAAUCUAUGGGCUCAACCCAUAAACUGCUUUCAAAACUGUUUUUCUUGAGUAGUGCAGAGGUAGGCGGAAUUCCCGGUGUAGCGGUGGAAUGCGUAGAUAUCGGGAGGAACACCAGUGGCGAAGGCGGCCUACUGGGCACCAACUGACGCUGAGGCUCGAAAGUGUGGGUAGCAAACAGGAUUAGAUACCCUGGUAGUCCACACCGUAAACGAUGAUUACUAGGUGUUGGAGGAUUGACCCCUUCAGUGCCGCAGUUAACACAAUAAGUAAUCCACCUGGGGAGUACGACCGCAAGGUUGAAACUCAAAGGAAUUGACGGGGGCCCGCACAAGCGGUGGAGCAUGUGGUUUAAUUCGAAGCAACGCGAAGAACCUUACCAAGUCUUGACAUCCCGAUGACCGGUUCAGAGAUGAGCCUUUUCUUCGGAACAUCGGUGACAGGUGGUGCAUGGUUGUCGUCAGCUCGUGUCGUGAGAUGUUGGGUUAAGUCCCGCAACGAGCGCAACCCUUACGGUUAGUUGAUACGCAAGAUCACUCUAGCCGGACUGCCGUUGACAAAACGGAGGAAGGUGGGGAUGACGUCAAAUCAUCAUGCCCUUUAUGACUUGGGCUACACACGUACUACAAUGGCGUUAAACAAAGAGAAGCAAGACCGCGAGGUGGAGCAAAACUCAGAAACAACGUCCCAGUUCGGACUGCAGGCUGCAACUCGCCUGCACGAAGUCGGAAUUGCUAGUAAUCGUGGAUCAGCAUGCCACGGUGAAUACGUUCCCG
rnacentral:rRNA from 1 species